rnacentral:sRNA from 1 species
CGCUGGCGGAGACGCCGGCUGCUCCUCCCCUCCCCGCCGGUAUUAAUCUCUGGAGAAGACACAUCCACAGUUAGCACUUUCUUCAGAUGCUGACGCUCGGUGAACAGUUGCCCUUGGUCACAAGAUUUAGAAGACAUAGUGUCCAUCCUCCCAGACUGGAUCUCUUUUUCAUACGGAUCUUCUGUUCCUAUGUCUUUUUUAAAAAUAACUUUUUGGGAAACCUUUUGGAUUACAACUGUUCAUCCUCACCUAUGCAAAGAAAGGGAAGCUAUUGCUGGGAUUUUGAGGAGCUUUUCCUAAAAGGAUUGUACACCUUAGAAGUGCUUAAGGAAGAGUGAUGAAGCUCUGAAUCGUGUCCUGCAGCAGAUUCGAGUGCCACCCAAGAUGAAGAGAGGGACAAGCUUGCAUAGUAAGCGGGGCAAGCCAGAGGCCCCAAAGGGAAGUCCCCAAAUCAACAGGAAGUCUGGUCAGGAGAUGACAGCUGUUAUGCAGUCAGGCCGACCCAGGUCUUCAUCCACAACUGAUGCCCCUACCAGCUCUGCUAUGAUGGAAAUAGCUUGUGCUGCUGCUGCUGCUGCUGCUGCAUGUCUGCCGGGAGAGGAGGGAACUGCGGAGCGGGUAAGUUUGUAAGAUUUUGUUUUUCUGUUAACUUACUGUUUUUCGUA